AGUAUGAUUAUGCCAAACGAACUCUUUCGUCAUCGCUCAUAGGAGAUUUGGAAUAUGCCCUAUAACUGCAGACUCCAAUAUUGCAAAUAGCACCUGCAAUACAGUGGAAUAACAUAUUGGUGUGCUGAAGAAAAGAUGGCAAAGGCUUUUAGCUGAUAGGAUAUUGUACUGAUGACCCUGUUCUGUUCAAAUCAUAAAUGUGUGUGUAUUAUCAAAAUAUUUGCAUAGAUUGUGAAAUGCUGAUGAUAUUUGA
rnacentral:lncRNA from 1 species